UUCCAACUACCUACUCUUGCAACUCCACAUGAUGUGCAACCAGAGAACUUGUUACACUGUACCCUGUGGUUCAAAGACAACCAAGGCCCUGAUGUGGAUUAUAAAGAAGAACUACUUCAGCUUGUGGAAAUUCACAUCACAUUGACAGACUUGCUAUGGGACACCAGAGGCAACAUGGUCCUACUGGUUCACCUCCCAACAGAGGUAUCUCAUCUCUACCGUCACUGGGAAACAGCUGUCCCACAUAUAUCCCUCACCAAGUCUCCUGACCUCUCAUGGAAAGAUCUAUGCCCAAUGACCAAAUCCUGGAGCGCAAUAACCCAAGAACAACUUGAAU